rnacentral:rRNA from 1 species
UACAGAGGUCUCAAGCGUUGUUCGGAUCCAUUGGGCGUAAAGGGUGCGUAGGCGGCGCGGUAAGUCGGGUGUGAAAUUUCGAGGCUUAACUUCGAAACUGCAUUCGAUACUGCCGUGCUUGAGGACUGGAGAGGAGACUGGAAUUUACGGUGUAGCGGUGAAAUGCGUAGAUGUCGAUAAGGAAGACCAGUGGCGAAGGCGGGUCU